rnacentral:rRNA from 1 species
GACGAAGGUCCCAAGCGUUGUUCGGAAUCACUGGGCGUAAAGGGUGCGUAGGCGGCGCGGAAAGUCGGAUGUGAAAGCCCUGGGCUCAACCCAGGAAGUGCAUUCGAAACUUCCAAGCUCGAGUCCUGGAGAGGAAAGCGGAAUUCUCGGUGUAGAGGUGAAAUUCGUAGAUAUCGAGAGGAACACCGAUGGCGAAGGCGGCUGGCUGGACAGUGACUGACGCUGAGACGCGAAAGCGUGGGGAGCAAACAGG